GACGAACGCUGGCGGCGUGCUUAACACAUGCAAGUCGAACGGAAAGGCCCUGCUUUUGUGGGGUGCUCGAGUGGCGAACGGGUGAGUAACACGUGAGUAACCUGCCCUUGACUUUGGGAUAACUUCAGGAAACUGGGGCUAAUACCGGAUAGGAGCUCCUGCUGCAUGGUGGGGGUUGGAAAGUUUCGGCGGUUGGGGAUGGACUCGCGGCUUAUCAGCUUGUUGGUGGGGUAGUGGCUUACCAAGGCUUUGACGGGUAGCCGGCCUUAGAGGGUGACCGGCCACCUUGGGCCUGCGGUACGGCCCAGACUCCUACGGGGGGCAGCAGUGGGGAAUAUUGCCCAAUGGGCGGAAGCCUGAUGCAGCAACGCCGCGUGCGGGAUGCCGGCCUUCGGGUUGUAAACCGCUUUCGCCUGUGACGAAGCGUGAGUGACGGUAAUGGGUAAAGAAGCACCGGCUAACUUCGUG
rnacentral:rRNA from 1 species